rnacentral:rRNA from 1 species
AUGCACAAGUUCAUCUUUUGUAUGCUUUUCAGUACAUCUACUUCCCAAUCGCGCUUCCUCCUCCUCUCAGGAACCGACCCAACCACUGCCGCCAUGGCACGGCGCCUCCACCUCUCGGCGAAGGACCACCACCUCCCCGACGACGUGCCCAACCCCGAUGAGGCCCGCCGGCCCUGGAGUUCCUGCCGCGACGCCUCGACCUCCUGUUCAGCCAUGGAUUCUUGCCAUCAUCCACGUCAUCAGGAACACGAUUGGGCCGGGGGAGAAGGCAGAACCUCUGGGUGCAUGAUGGAAACCAUGAUGCAUGGUAGAACAGACCUCGAAUCUGAGUUCUUCAUGGAGUAUGGUGAAAUAAACCGGUAUCAGGUUGGUGGUGAUUAA